UAUGGCUGUCCGUUGUCCGUGAGACCGAGUUUCGGCCUUUAAUCCCUCCUCCAUAACUUCUACCUGUUUGUUACAACCGUCCUGCCAAAAAAGUUGAGGUGGCAUCAAUCACCACCUCAACGGGCUUCACCUUCUACUUCAGUGGAAGUUAAUCGGAAAAGCCCAAGAGGUUGUGUCAUCGCUUUCCUUGGAAAGGUGACGUCAGUCAAAGGAGGCAGUCUUGGCUGAUAAGUUUGUUCUCACUCAUAAGCAUGUGUUUAUGACUUCCUUCCGUCCAGACAGAGAGGCAGCGCCGGAGUUCGUGAGACCGAAUUUCGGCCUUUAAUCCCUCCUCCAUAACUUCUACCUGUUUGUUACAACCGUCCUGCCAAAAAAGUUGAGUGACCAAUCGGAUGGCAGUACACUCCAUCCACAACGUUCCUCUCAUCAUAGGAACAACAUCUGUCAUGGCUGGGACCACUACCUGGUGACAAAGGAGACAGCCUUUCAGCAGACACAAAUGCCGCGGACUCUCUUGACGAACUUGAACCAUAAUGCGUCUUUGAACGGCUCUGCCAGCUGGACGUCGC